rnacentral:rRNA from 1 species
AUAGUACUUUUAUCCUGCAUGGGAUGUGAGUUAAAUGUUCAAGGUAUCGGAUGGGCAUGCGUCCUAUUAGUUAGUUGGCGGGGUAACAGCCCACCAAGACGAUGAUAGGUAGGGGUUCUGAGAGGAAGGUCCCCCACAUUGGAACUGAGACACGGUCCAAACUCCUACGGGAGGCAGCAGUGAGGAAUAUUGGUCAAUGGACGUAAGUCUGAACCAGCCAAGUCGCGUGAGGGAAGACUGCCCUAUGGGUUGUAAACCUCUUUUAUAAGGGAAGAAUAAGUUCUACGUGUAGAAUGAUGCCUGUACCUUAUGAAUAAGCAUCGGCUAACUCCGUGCCAGCAGCCGCGGUAAUACGGAGGAUGCGAGCGUUAUCCGGAUUUAUUGGGUUUAAAGGGUGCGUAGGCGGUUUAUUAAGUUAGUGGUUAAAUAUUUGAGCUAAACUCAAUUGUGCCAUUAAUACUGGUAAACUGGAGUACAGACGAGGUAGGCGGAAUAAGUUAAGUAGCGGUGAAAUGCAUAGAUAUAACUUAGAACUCCGAUAGCGAAGGCAGCUUACCAGACUGUAACUGACGCUGAUGCACGAGAGCGUGGGUAGCGAACAGGAUUAGAUACCCUGGUAGUCCACGCCGUAAACGAUGCUCACUGGUUCUGUGCGAUAUAUUGUACGGGAUUA